rnacentral:tmRNA from 1 species
GGGGGCGAAUUGGGUUCGACGGGGAUACAGAAACAAUGGCUGCAUAUCGAGAUCUAGCUGCUCGUAAAAUAGCUGGGCCUAAAUAUAAUCGCAGACGAUUAUGCUUACGCAGUAGCCGCUUAAGCGGCUACCGUCCUUCUGAAAUGGUUCCUGCACAUUUGGUAAGGGCGUCGACUUGUAGGAUAGCUUAUAUUGUAAUCCUGUAUCAAUAUGAGUGAAGUUUCAUAGGAUAGUGCUUUAUGUCCCGUCUGAAGGAUACAUAGGGUAACGAAAUUAAAAUUUCAGACUAUAUAUGUAGAUGCCAGUGUGGAAUAUUUUCGGACGCGGGUUCAAUUCCCGCCGCCUCCACCA